GCCAGACUCCUACGGGAGGCAGCAGUGGGGAAUAUUGGGCAAUGGGCGCAAGCCUGACCCAGCAACGCCGCGUGAAGGAAGAAGGCUUUCGGGUUGUAAACUUCUUUUCUCAGGCACGAAGCAAGUGACGGUACCUGAGGAAUAAGCCACGGCUAACUCCGUGCCAGCAGCCGCGGUAAUACGGAGGAUGCGAGCGUUAUCCGGAUUUAUUGGGUUUAAAGGGUGCGUAGGCGGAAUGCCAAGUCAGCGGUAAAAUCGGGGGGCUCAACCUCGCUCCGCCGUUGAAACUGGCGUUCUUGAGUGGGCGAGAAGUAUGCGGAAUGCGUGGUGUAGCGGUGAAAUGCAUAGAUAUCACGCAGAACCCCGAUUGUGAAGGCAGCAUACCGGUGCACAACUGACGCUCAGGCACGAAAGCGUGGGUAUCGAACAGGAUUAGAUACCCGAGUA
rnacentral:rRNA from 1 species